UUUCUACCCUAAAAAUAGAUCAUCUCCUGCUUUGUUUCAGGAGUUAGCAUUAUGCUACAACAGACUUCUGAGAUGUCUCCAUAACUCUUGGCAAGCAAUCACCGACUUCUCCCCUCAAGGUGCAUAAAGAACAAGAGCUACAGCUGCAAUGAAUUGUCCUACAAAACGAAUUGAGCUCCUAGCAGGACAGAUAUGCUCCUAGGAAAGCUUGAUGCUUCUGACAGGAGAAGUAAAGUUCCACUGGGAAGGGGAAAGAGGGGGCAACGUAGGUGCUUGACUUUCAAAGAUGUAUUUCAACAGGGAGGAAAUUCCAUGCAUUCAACACACAAAUUACUCAUGUGAUCAAAGUAUGCGAUCUUCUUCUGAAAUAAGUCAGAUCAAAAUUUUUGCUCAGACCUCACUGAAUGCCUUCAGUUACACUACAGGUCUUCAAUGAUCAAACAUUUUCCAGAGGAUUUGCCUUUGAGGAGAGCCUGCUAAUCUCAGUGGAUCGAAUUCAGCUCCGUUCUUCACCUCAACAGCAGAUCUGGCGGCACACGCUCAGAGUCUUCCUUCAGGCAUCACCACCGAGUUCCAGGAACUCAAACACACAUAAUUAGAAGGCAGACUGGUGGAGGCCGCAUCCAUGUCCUGUGUUUGUCCUCAAGGACACACGUGACUUUGCUGUGUUUCAUUCCAAAUCUGGUUUCUU
ensembl:lncRNA